GACCCACCUACUGACGAUGAAAUUGUGGGACUCCUGGGCAACAUGCUCGAGCUAGUCGGCAAAUCUUCACAAUGAUAAGUCCAUCUCUUGUAAGUCACAUCUAUACCGUGUUCGUAUAAAUGAUUUUGAAUGUCCGAUAGGGUACACCAAAAUAUAUUUCUACAUCGAUGACAUGGACAACGAGCUUUUUCAUCUUCUCUAGUGUG
rnacentral:lncRNA from 1 species